rnacentral:rRNA from 1 species
UACGUAGGGGGCAAGCGUUGUCCGGAUUUAUUGGGCGUAAAGAGCGUGUAGGCGGCCAGACAAGUCUGCUGUGAAAACUCGAGGCUCAACCUCGAGCUGUCGGUGGAAACUGUCUGGCUAGAGUCCGGAAGAGGAGAGUGGAAUUCCUGGUGUAGCGGUGAAAUGCGCAGAUAUCAGGAAGAACACCCGUGGCGAAAGCGGCUCUCUGGAACGGUACUGACGCUGAGACGCGAAAGCGUGGGGAGCGAACAGG